AAAAGAUAGGACUUCAAGAAUAAGGUCGCCGAUACGGUAGAGAGAGUAAAAAUCUAGACAAAAGUUGGCUCGUAAAACUCCCCAUUCACCUCAUUGUUGACUUACCUUCUGACUGUACCAUUGUCUAGCUUCUCCCCUUAAGGAAAAAGGAAAAAGCUUCCAACGUAAAGUUUUAUCAGAAAUGCCUUCAAUGCGAAGACAAUCACAUGUUUGCUCAAAAUCUCUAAUAUGAAGGUAAGGGUUUUCGUCUUCCUUUCUCGAAAAAGAUAGGUUUUGAAUCAUGGCAAUCAACCUAGAACUUACCUAUACUGGGAUGUUUGGAUAGGCUGUGAUGACUCCCAUGGUAAAAGGUUAGUUUCCGAAGGUGUUGCAAAUUGAUAGAUUGAUUCAGAAUCUUGGUUUUCCAUAAGGUAAGAGUAAAAAAAACAAAUAAAGAAUAUAAAAGAUAAGAAAAGAUAAAAGUAUAGAUACAAGCUAGUUGUAGGACUCAAGGUUAUCUCAGCAAACCGUCUUUCUCCCCGGCAACGGCGUCAGAAAUGCUUGUUGAUAUUUGGGAACGCAAUAAGGAAUUGAUCCGCAAGCGCACUGAUAUCGGUGAGCACUUCACCCGGGAGGUUAUCCAGAGUAUCGUAUUUAUUUUUUUACCACUAGGAGAAAGAGUGCAUCUGACUAACCCGGUCUAUUACUACUAACCCUUUAGGCUACAAAGAAUGUUUCUCGAUGUGUGUGAUAAAUAGAGAAGACUACAACCGUAAUCUCCUUCUAACCUUGGUAAGGAUGAUCUACUGUUCUAUUGGGGAGGCUAACAGAAUCUAGACACCACAAAGGAUGUUCAACCCGC
rnacentral:lncRNA from 1 species